rnacentral:rRNA from 1 species
CCUUUGUACACACCGCCCGUCGCUACUACCGAUUGAAUGGCUCAGUGAGAUUUUGGGACUGGCUCAGAGAGAUCGGCAACGAUCACUUAGAGCCGGAAACUUACUCAAACUUGGUCAUUUAGAGG